rnacentral:rRNA from 1 species
UGGAUCCAGACUUUGAUCAUGGCUCAGGAUGAACGCUGGCGGCGUGCCUAAUACAUGCAAGUCGAACGAAACUUCUUUAUCACCGAGUGCUUGCACUCACCGAUAAAGAGUUGAGUGGCGAACGGGUGAGUAACACGUGGGCAACCUGCCCAAAAGAGGGGGAUAACACUUGGAAACAGGUGCUAAUACCGCAUAACCAUAGUUACCGCAUGGUAACUAUGUAAAAGGUGGCUAUGCUACCGCUUUUGGAUGGGCCCGCGGCGCAUUAGCUAGUUGGUGGGGUAAAGGCUUACCAAGGCAAUGAUGCGUAGCCGAACUGAGAGGUUGAUCGGCCACAUUGGGACUGAGACACGGCCCAAACUCCUACGGGAGGCAGCAGUAGGGAAUCUUCCACAAUGGGCGAAAGCCUGAUGGAGCAACGCCGCGUGGGUGAAGAAGGUCUUCGGAUCGUAAAACCCUGUUGUUAGAGAAGAAAGUGCGUGAGAGUAACUGUUCACGUUUCGACGGUAUCUAACCAGAAAGCCACGGCUAACUACGUGCCAGCAGCCGCGGUAAUACGUAGGUGGCAAGCGUUAUCCGGAUUUAUUGGGCGUAAAGGGAACGCAGGCGGUCUUUUAAGUCUGAUGUGAAAGCCUUCGGCUUAACCGGAGUAGUGCAUUGGAAACUGGGAGACUUGAGUGCAGAAGAGGAGAGUGGAACUCCAUGUGUAGCGGUGAAAUGCGUAGAUAUAUGGAAGAACACCAGUGGUGAAAGCGGCUCUCUGGUCUGUAACUGACGCUGAGGUUCGAAAGCGUGGGUAGCAAACAGGAUUAGAUACCCUGGUAGUCCACGCCGUAAACGAUGAAUGCUAAGUGUUGGAGGGUUUCCGCCCUUCAGUGCUGCAGCUAACGCAAUAAGCAUUCCGCCUGGGGAGUACGACCGCAAGGUUGCAACUCAAAUGAAUUGACGGA